UCUGGAUUAGUACAUCGGCUAGUAUAACCGCCUUUCAUUACGUAAUCAAUUAGCGUACGCGGUAGAGCGGGGUUCGAUUCCCCGAUCCAGAA